AUUAUCUCAGAUUUGGGGGAGGGGUGCAAAUGAAUUAUCACAUCAAUGUAAUUAAGAGUCCAGGCUCUGGAGUUAGGCUUGAUUCAAAUCCUAGUUCUGGAAUUCAAAUGUGUUUUAUAGUAAAUAUGGUGAUUACAUUUACCAGAAAUUGACCUUAGAAGAACUGAACAGGGCCCCCUGUUUGUAUAAAGCUCCUGUGAAGGGAAUGCAGGUCAGAUUACUGUUCCUUCUGCAUGUCUGCAACAGGCAUGUGUAUGCAGAGUCCCCUGGGUUGCAGAAGUAAGUGACCUGAAGAGCAGAGACAGUCCUUUGGAAUCAGACAAAGCAUUUCACACACUGUCAGGUUCAUGUGAAGCUCCCGGCUGACUGCAGUCACAUUAGGGACCCUAGUGAAGAGGAAGAACCACCAACUGAGACGGCUCACUUCUCAGAAUCAUGAAAAUAAAAAAUUGAAACACUAAGAAGCUACUCCAGUGGAGGUGAGGAGAGUGAAAAGAGGCAAGAGUGGACAGAGGAAAACAAUGCAUCUGGGAAUAUGACCUUGUUGGGACAUUGAGCAGCUGUUCCUGGUGGCUAUAUUUACAGAAGGAGAAAGAGAUAAUACGAACUUGAAAAGCUGAUUAAAAAUGUUAUGUGAGCAGUAUCUUGGCCACUUUUGAAAAGAAGACAAUGGUGAAUAUUCAUAAGGAGAACCAUUAAAGAACCAAAGUAGGAAGAAAAAGGUUUAGCCUAACUCAUGGCACUAAGGUACGUAAAGAAAAACAGUUACCUAGAGAAGGAGCUGGGUCCAUUCUGGAAACUAGAGGUCCGUAUGAGAGACCAUGUAGGGGUGGGUGCAAAGUGGAAGAAGAAUUAGAGAAAUAUUUGAGGAGGUGAGUUU
ensembl:lncRNA